GAGGAAGUGUGUACCCAGCAAACACAGAACGUUGUGAGGACGUCGCCAGUUAGUCGUCAUUUGGUCAGCGCGACAUUACUUUAUGCUAACGUUGUGAGGACGUCGUGAUAAAGUUCCAUUUUUUGAAAUCUUGGCUAACUUCCCAGAAACGUCGUGGGCACGUCCUCAAAAGACGUCGCUAGUUAGUCCCAUUGGGGACGUUGUAGCGACGUGGUCAGCUGGUCUUCAGAUAACUUUUAAUAUUAUUGCACUAGAUGUAUUAUUAUUAUUAAGAUACUAUUUGAACAGCAUAUUCUUUGGGAAAUAUACAAAAAAAUUAAUCAAGCAUGUUAAAAUAAUUUUAUAUAUAUAUAUGCCAUCAGUUUAAGAACAAUAAAAUAAAAUAAACAAUUUACUUAGCAAAUGGUGAUAAUGUUUGUUAAUGAAAGAGAGUACGGGACAAAUGAACAUUUAAACCUUAAACUAGCAGCGCACGUCACUUUCUGAGUGAAGUGCGCGACGUGCGCGUGCCCGUCAUUUUGUAACGGUCAACUUCCAGCGGACAGACACGGAGGAAAGGUAAGUCCUAUAAAUCUACUUUUAUUCAUAUAUUUUAACUGAUAUAACGUUAAAUGCCAUCAAAGAGGAGUAGUGUUUUGUAUUUUUGUAGGUUUUCUCUUUCAAUUUAAUAAAUAAAUACUCUGUUUGGUUAAUUAGCUCAAAAGCAGUCUCAGAGGUGGUCUAAGGUAACGUUAACUGUUAAAAUCGAAUAUAACCUUACCUGUUUUAAAUUAUUUGAAAUUUAACACUAUAAACUAUACAGUAUUCACUUUCUAAUUAUUCAAUUUUUAACCGUAGUAACGUUAAUUAGUUUGUUUGAAUGCCUGCCGCUCGAGCUUGAUGAUGCUCAUGCUAGCCAUUCUGUGAACUUGAAUAUAAACCGCUGUAUAAAGUUUAACGUUAAUUAGACCGAGGCUGCCGAAAUCAUGUUCAGUGUAACGUUAUGCGGGAUUAAUAAUUUCCCCUUUUCUCCCUCAAGUGGCAGGCUUGUAAAUUCUGUCAUCUGUUCAUUAUUGGUGUUGAUGGCAUUUUUCACAUGCAUGCUUUUUAAUGCUAGUUUAAUUCUCAAAUUGAUCUGAUACUUUCGGUUCACAAAAAGUAAACAAUUUGUUAACUUUUUUUUAGGUCUUUACCAUAGACUGUAUAAAAACAGGUCCUUACUGCCACCAGUUGAGUCAAUGAUUCAGGGAACAGACAGUCUGGGCAGCAGCAACAAGACAACUAUUACAAGUAGAGAUGGGUUUCAAGAACUGGUACUAAUUUGGUUCCUGACUUGUUCGACACAACCACAUAUCCUCCAAAUCAUCUCUGCGUGGAUGGCAGCAAGGAUCCAGGAUCAAGAGAUCAUUCUUCAUGGAGACUGUUCCACAGGAAGCAGUUUCUCCUGGGUGAAAAACUAAACCUGGUUGUUUCAGCAUCACUCAG